CUACGGGACGCAGCAAUGAGGAAUAUUGCACAAUGGGGGGAACCCUGAUGCAGCAACGCCGCGUGGAGGAUGACGCAUUUCGGUGUGUAAACUCCUUUAUAUGUCAAGAAAAUGACGGUAGCAUAUGAAUAAGCACCGGCUAACUCCGUGCCAGCAGCCGCGGUAAUACGGAGGGUGCAAGCGUUACUCGGAAUCACUGGGCGUAAAGGACGCGUAGGCGGGUUGGAAAGUCAGGUGUGAAAUCCUACAGCUUAACUGUAGAACUGCACUUGAAACUUCUAAUCUAGAGUAUGGGAGGGGGAGAUGGAAUUAGUGGUGUAGGGGUAAAAUCCGUAGAUAUCACUAGGAAUACCUAAAGCGAAGGCGAUCUCCUGGAACAUUACUGACGCUAAGGCGUGAAAGCGUGGGGAGCAAACAGGAUUAGAUACCCUCGUAGUC
rnacentral:rRNA from 1 species